rnacentral:rRNA from 1 species
UACGUAGGUGGCAAGCGUUGUCCGGAUUUAUUGGGUUUAAAGGGUGCGUAGGCGGCUUAUUAAGUCAGUGGUGAAAGACGGUAGCUUAACUAUCGAGGUGCCAUUGAUACUGAUGAGCUUGAGUACUGAUGAGGUAGGCGGAAUGGACGGUGUAGCGGUGAAAUGCAUAGAUAUCGUCCAGAACACCGAUAGCGAAGGCAGCUUACUAAGGAGUAACUGACGAUGAGGCACGAAAGUGUGGGGAUCAAACAGG